rnacentral:lncRNA from 1 species
GCGAUGAGCCGCCUGCCUCAUUGUAAUUUCUCAUUGGGCGAAAAUGAUGUGACUGUUCAUCAGGGCGCCUCCAAACAUUGAGCCUUAUCCCUUUCGCUUCUCCGUAGUGUUGUCUUGCCUCGGCUUGCAUUCUCUGCUGCCGACGCUUUUGAGUUUUUGUUAACAUCGGCCCCUGCCACCUAGCCGAUGGUUUAACCUCAACUUCGUGCCAUUCAUCCACUGGCACGUUCGCCGGGACCUUUAGUGUCCUCAGAUGAUUUUUCAAAAUUUCUCUUCUCUCCCAAGGUCUCGGCCAAGGCUGAAUGCCUAGCUCG